rnacentral:rRNA from 1 species
UACGUAGGGUGCGAGCGUUAAUCGGAAUUACUGGGCGUAAAGCGUGCGUAGGCGGUUUGUUAAGACAGGUGUGAAAUCCCCGGGCUUAACCUGGGAAUUGCGCUUGUUACUGGCAGACUAGAGUACGUCAGAGGGGGGUGGAAUUCCACGUGUAGCAGUGAAAUGCGUAGAGAUGUGGAGGAACACCUGUGGCGAAGGCGGCCCCCUGGUUGGAUACUGACGCUGAUACGCGAAAGCGUGGGGAGCAAACAGG